rnacentral:rRNA from 1 species
AUUUCUCGCCUAAACUACGUUGUCCUCACUCUCAUACCUAAAGUUAAAGGGGCUGACAAGAUCUCUCAGUUCAGGCCUAUUGCCCUCAUCAAUAACUUCGCUAAAUUUCCGGCAAAAGGUUUUACUACUAGGCUAUCCCCCAUCGUUCAGCGUACCCUCAGUCCUUUCCAAUCGGCCUUUGUCAAAGGCAGGUUCAUCCUGGACGGCAUCCUAUGUUUGCAUGAGAUCGUCCAUGACCUACGUGUUCAUGGUACUAGAGCGGUGAUACUUAAGCUUGAUUUUGAGAAAGCUUACGAUUUGGUCAGUUGGAACUUUCUUCGUCAGGUGUUACUGACCAAGGGCUUUGAUGGGGCUGUGGUGUAUAGACUUAUGCAGUUGGUCACGGGUGGCCACACUGCGAUUUCGGUAAAUGGGAAUAUCAGUAACUUUUUCGCCAACGGAAGGGUUACCCGGCUUCCCCCCUUCUCUUUAACUUCAUGGCUGACUCUCUCUCCCACAUCCUGA